rnacentral:misc_RNA from 1 species
CAACCCCUCAGGCCCUGCCUGGCGUUGGAGGACUGCGCUUCGCAGCCUCCCAAAGCAAGCGGCGGCGGCGCCCCAAAUCCGAACGCAGUAGUUACCUCUCGUUCUGGGUGUUGGGACGGUGCCCGGCGGAAAACCCCCAUCUAUAUCGUGG